CAGAUUUCGAAUCGUCUCUUUAUCUCGUUACUUGCUUCGUCACUGGUUAAACAACGAACGAAGGCUGUACCAUGUUUUCGCGGUGUAUUAUCUUUGGUAAAGAGUUUUCGACACAGAUGAAACCGAUAAGAGGUGGUCUCGGUGACCUGGAAGUCAGGUUAGAGCCGGUACACCGGCUAACACGUGGAAUCAAUAAAUUCGAUAGAGAAAUCGUGAUUCGAUAAUUCUUAUCUCCUCGAGUUAUAAAUGUAAGUUUCCUCGCGGAUUAUCGGAUUGUCAAUAAUGUAUGUAUUAUUGCUCGUUAGUUCAUGCUUGCAAAAUAAAUAAGCAAACACUCCUUAAUUCAAACUACACUGCGCUAAGAAUCAUUGUUUUAUCAUCUUUAAUCUUCGACCUUGUAUGAUCAGCCUCUGUCAUCUCGUGUCGCAGUGAAUUUCGCAAAGCGAUUUGUAAUUCAUCAGGCGUGUUAAACCUGCUGAGACGCGUGAUUCGUAACAGUUGAGUAAUUUGCUGCAACCGCGUGUUUUUUCUCUUUCAGAUUCUUUGAGAUGUCGACGCAAGUCGAAAGUCGUGUUCAAACACGAUGUAAAGAUAACACCUGGCGCGUAACUAUAACGCAUGGCAAGUUAAUAAGGAAGUUUCAUAGAAUAAGGGUAACAUAGCGGAGACGGUUUUACUUCAGUUACAAAGGAAACGGAAACGACCUGUCGAUCUAUUAACAUAAUUUGCGCAGAAAUUUAUGUCGGACGAUCGAUGAUUGUGUCAGAGGUAUGAGCAAUAGGAGAAACAGCAGUAAUUUCUAACGUUGUAUUCGACGAAGAAACAAGAAUGGCCGCGUUUAAGACGCGAAAUUCUUAUCUAAGCAAGAUAAAUCUUCCGCUGUAUGCGAUUCUAAUUGUAAGAGCGCGGAGAGAAGUGCAUCAUUGGCUCACGGUGCACGAGUCUGCCAUGCGAGUAAAACUGCACACGUCAUGAUUAUUCAGCAAAGAAUUCUAUAAGGUUUGACCAUAACAUCAAAUACAAUUGUUACACCUUA